rnacentral:misc_RNA from 1 species
GCAAACUUGGUCAUUUAGAGGAAGUAAAAGUCGUAACAAGGUUUCCGUAGGUGAACCUGCGGAAGGAUCAUUUUGGAUGAAGAAGUUGUUCCGUCUCGUCUCUACAAGGGACGGGACGGGACGACGCACGCAACCUGUUGGAACGAACGAGUCGAGAGAGGUGGGUGGGUGGUGGUGGGUGGGUGGACGUGCAUGCAUGUGUGUGUGUAUAUCUGCCCACCCACGGCCGCCUGCUUUGCUUUACUCUACUCUUUACUUUACUUUCUGAGAAACGUUUGAGGAUGACCGAUUGACAGAUGUAUUUUAUGGAACGAGAGUGAUCAUUUUUAACAAUGGAUCUCUUGGCUCUUGCAUCGAUGAAGAACGCAGC